AGUGAACGCUGGCGGUAGGCCUAACACAUGCAAGUCGAACGGCAGCACAGAGGAGCUUGCUCCUUGGGUGGCGAGUGGCGGACGGGUGAGGAAUACAUCGGAAUCUACUCUGUCGUGGGGGAUAACGUAGGGAAACUUACGCUAAUACCGCAUACGACCUACGGGUGAAAGCAGGGGACCUUCGGGCCUUGCGCGAUUGAAUGAGCCGAUGUCGGAUUAGCUAGUUGGCAGGGUAAAGGCCCACCAAGGCGAUGAUCCGUAGCUGGUCUGAGAGGAUGAUCAGCCACACUGGAACUGAGACACGGUCCAGACUUCUACGGGAGGCAGCAGUGGGGAAUAUUGGACAAGGGGCGCAAGCCUGAUCCAGCCAUACCGCGUGGGUGAAGAAGGCCUUCGGGUUGUAAAGCCCUUUUGUUGGGAAGGAAAUCCAGCUGGCUAAUACCCGGUUGGGAUGACGGUACCCAAAGAAUAAGCACCGGCUAACUUCGUGCCAGCCGCCGCCGUAA
rnacentral:rRNA from 1 species